GACGAACCGUCCGAACGUUAUUCGGUAUCACUGGGCUUAAAGCGUGCGUAGGCGGCCUGGUAGGUGAGAUGUGAAAGCCCACGGCUCAACCGUGGAAUUGCGUUUCAAACCACCAGGCUGGAGGAUGGCAGGGGUGAUGGGAACUGAUGGUGGAGCGGUGAAAUGCGUUGAUAUCAUCAGGAACACCGGUGGCGAAGGCGCAUCACUGGGCCAUUUCUGACGCUGAGGCACGAAAGCUAGGGUAGCGAACGGGAUUAGAUACCCG
rnacentral:rRNA from 1 species